AUUGAACGCUGGCGGCAGGCUUAACACAUGCAAGUCGAGCGGUAGCACAGGGGAGCUUGCUCCCUGGGUGACGAGCGGCGGACGGGUGAGUAAUGUCUGGGAAACUGCCUGAUGGAGGGGGAUAACUACUGGAAACGGUAGCUAAUACCGCAUAACGUCGCAAGACCAAAGAGGGGGACCUUCGGGCCUCUUGCCAUCAGAUGUGCCCAGAUGGGAUUAGCUAGUAGGUGGGGUAAUGGCUCACCUAGGCGACGAUCCCUAGCUGGUCUGAGAGGAUGACCAGCCACACUGGAACUGAGACACGGUCCAGACUCCUACGGGAGGCAGCAGUGGGGAAUAUUGCACAAUGGGCGCAAGCCUGAUGCAGCCAUGCCGCGUGCGUGAAGAAGGCCUUCGGGUUGUAAAGCACUUUCAGCGAGGAGGAAGGUGGUGAGCUUAAUACGUUCAUCAAUUGACGUUACUCGCAGAAGAAGCACCGGCUAACUCCGUG
rnacentral:rRNA from 1 species